rnacentral:lncRNA from 10 species
GCCCAGGCUGGAGUGCAGUGGCGCCAUCUCAGCUCACUGCAACCGCCGCCUCCCGGGUUCAAGCAAUUCUCUGCCUCCGCCUCCCGACCAGCUGGGAUUACAGUGACGCGCCACCAUGCCCGGCUAAUUUUUGUAUUUUUAGCAGAGACGGGGUUUCACCAUCUUGCCCAGGCUGCUCUUUAACUCCUGACCUCGUGAUCCACCCACCUCGGGCUCCCAAGGUGCUGGGAUUACAGGCGUGAGCCACCGCGCCCGGCCAAAACAAACACUUUUACGACAAUUGAAAAAUAGAAGUUUCCAAUUCAAUUUUGCAACUAAAAAAUAAUAAUAAUGUGGUGCCUUCAUGUUAAACUUUGGAAAAAGCCAGGGAAGUGGCUUGCUCUGGUGAAUAAAUUCUGUAGACCCUUAAGGCUGUUCGCAGCGUACACCAAGACUUCCGAGGCAAGUGGGGGCUCCCCCUGGCGGCUGCGCCGGGUGGCUGCUCCGGGAUUGUGCGGACCUCCGAGCUACACCGUCUCCAACCAACAGAAGCCAGCAGGAACCUGCCUUAGAUGUGGGAAUGAGACAACACAACUUCUCCCAUAGGCCUGGUGGUCAGAGAGGCUGGAUCAAGAAUCUCCACAGCCCAGCGAGAAGCCACGCGAACACACCCCUGUGUGGGUAUCCGUGACCUGGCGGCCUGCAGAACUCCUGGGCCAGAGACGUCCUCAUCCUGUUGGAAUAUCCAGGUAUCUCCACUCCGAAUAUCCUCAUCUUCCUGGAACCCCUCUUUUUCUCCUAACAUUCUCUUAAAUGAAAUUCCAUAUCUGCUACAACACAGAAAGAGAGGCGGAACAAGAAAAACUGGUGAUCCACUAAUAAGAAGGCCCUGGAGCCUCUCGAUGUUUAAUCUUCUCAAGGGAUGAGAAUGUGUCUCGUACUUCUCAGCAUCUGAAACGCAGCCUUCGCUAAUGGGUCAGUUUCACUGGACGUACUCCCAGGAUCAUAGAUGGCAGCCGGGGAAGGCAGUGAGGGUGGAAAUGUCUCACUAGGCUGAAUUGAAGUGAGGCCUACCCGUUGCCUCCUUUGCAUGUGUUUAAGUAUUAGAAGAAUCUAGUAAUUUGCCCAUAAGAGAUAAUCAAACAAGAAAACAAAGGUGUAUGUGCAAAGAUUUGAAUCUUAGCUUUAUUUGAAAUAACAGAAAAUUGGAAGUCAAUUCAUGUCCAUCAGCGUGGGGCUGGCCACCUGCCAAUUCAUGUCCAUUUCCCUGGAGGGAAAUGACCCAACCAUGGAGAGAACGAUGUUCACUGAUUGCAUUGGCGUGGCAAGAACUCCAUGGCAUGUUGCAUCAUGAAGAAAGCUGCCCCGCAAAAUGAGAUGCGAUUGACGUUGAUGUGUCUGUACUUGUGCAAAGAGAGAUUUGGGAAAGGAAGUUUACUGAAGUGUUAACAAUGGGUUACAAGUUUUGAAGUGAUUUUAAUUUCUUUUUUUUUAAGUUUCUGUUAGGCUGGGAUUUUCCCCAUAGAUAUGCAUCAUCUAUGUCAGCAAUCCCCAACCUUUUGGGCACCAGGACAGGUUUCGUGAAAGACAAUUUUUCCACGGACCAGGAGUGGGAGGGACGGUUUCAGGAUGAUUCAAGCACAUUACGUUUAUCAUUAGAUUCUCACAAGGAGCAUGCAAGCUAGAUCCCUUGCAUGCCCAGUUCACAAUAGGGUUCGUGCUCCUAUGAGAAUCUGAUGUUGCCACUGGUCUGACAGGAGGUGGAGCUCAGCUUCGCUCACUUGCCCCACCACUCACCUCCUGCUGUGCAGCCCAGUUCCUAACAGGCCACAGACCAGUAUACCAGUCUGUCACCUGGGGGUUGGGGAUCCCUGAUUUUUGUAAUUGGAAGUAAAGUUGUUCGCAUUACUUUAAAAUAAAGACAGUACCAUCGUUAUAAAGUAUUCUCUAAGUGCAAUCAUAGGGAAAAGUUCUGCUGAAAACUCUAGGGAUGGUUAGUCGUUUUAGGGAAAUACGGGGAACUAGAUGGAUUCUGGUUUUUAUUUAUCUUCCUUCAAAACAGCUACUAGUAAUCUGCAGAAAAGAUGCAUGGGAAAUAAACCAGGAAAACUGAGCCCAAAGUGAGGUGCAAAGGUUCUAAAAGGAUCAGUGGUCAAUGAUGUCGUGGCAUGUAUCAGCUGAAUCCAAAGUUGAUGUGAGUUCCAAAAUUAUACUGAGACUUUGGGGGAAAACAAAGGCUCAGCUAUGCUCAUCCAUCAGAUUUCAGUUCCUUCAUCAGUUCCUUGAGUGGCCACCACUUCUACUGUGAUAAGUCACCACUGACCUGGGCCACUGCUCUGUUCUCAUCACAGUUACAAGACGUUGGAGGAAACACCAGAGCCUAUACAGGGAUGGUUGAUUGUGAGAAAAGGUAAGACAAGUAAGUCUCUCUAUUUGAAACCCUGAAACCUUGUUUUUCAGCAGGCACAUUGCAUGCAUGAUCAAACAGAUUAGUGUGGUUCUAAUUGGUAAACCAUUAAUAAGCCAUAGAAUAUAAUCAAGAUCAUUCAGAAAGAUACACAAGCAAAUCCACAAAAGGGGAUUAGAAACCCAGUGUGUUCAGGUAUUCUUGCAUUGCUGUAAUGAAAUACCUGAGGCUGGGUAAUUUAUAAAGAACAGAGGUUUAAUUGGCUCAUGGUUCUGCAGGCUGUACAGAAAGUGUGGGGCCAGCAUCUGAUGUGCUUCUGGUGAGGGACUCAGGAAGCUAACAAUCAUGACAGAAGGCAAAGGGGAAGUAGACAUCUCACAUAUAAUGAGAGCAGGAGCAAGAGAGAAAGUGGGGUGGGGGCAGGUGCCACACACUUUUAAACAACUACAUCUCACAAUAACUCACUCAUUCUCAUGAGGACAGCACCAAACCAUUCAUGAGAAAUCCACCCCUAAGACCCAAACACCUUCCACCAGAUCCAAGACUGAGGAUUACAUCUCAACAUAAGAUUUAGGGAGACCAUCCAAACUAUAUCAUUCUGCCCCUGGCCUCCCAAAUCUCAGGUCCUUCUCACAUUGCAAAAUAAUAUCGUGGCCUUCUCACAUUGCAAAAUAAUCUCUUUUCAAUAGUCCUCCAAAGUCUUAACUCAUUCCAGCUUUAACUGAAAAGUCCCAUGUCCAGAUGAGUUCCUUCCACCUGUGAGUCUGUAAAAUCACAAGAAGUUAUUUACUUCUGAGAUACAAUGGGAGUACUAGAAUUGGGUAUAUAUUCCUGUUCCAAAAGGUAGAAAUUGGCUGAAAGAAAAGGGCUAUAGACCUCACACAAGCCUAAAAGCCAGCAGGAGAGUCAUUAAAUCUUAAAGCUCCAAAAUAAUCUCAUUCGACUCCAUGUCCCACAUCCAGGGCACACAGGUGCAAGGGAUGGUCUCCCAACGCUUUGAGUAGCUCCAUCCCUGUAUCUUUACAGGGCAUAGCCCCUACAGCUUCUCUCACAGGCUGGAGUUGAGUGCCUGCAGCUUUUCCUGGUGCAGGGUGCAAGCUGCUGAUGGAUAUACCAUACUGGGGUCUGGAGUACAGAGCCUCUUUCCCACAGCUCCA